AGAAUUUAGUUAAAACAUAACAUUAGAUUGUCAAACUAAAAUUAUUAAUAUUAAUAAUUCUUAA
rnacentral:tRNA from 1 species